CCCUUAGGGAUUCGUGGCGCAAUGGUAGCGCAUCUGACUCCAGAUCAGAAGGUUGCGUGGUUUAUUCAUGUCAAGUUCAAACCGCG